GUUCGAUCUCAAAUCAGGUAGGACUACCCGCUGAACUUAAGCAUAUCAAUAAGCGGAGGAAAAGAAACUAACAAGGAUUCCCCUAGUAACUGCGAGUGAAGCGGGAAGAGCUCAAAUUUAAAAUCUGGCGUGCCUCUGGUCGUCCGAGUUGUAGUCUAGAGAANUGUUUUCCGUGCUGAC
rnacentral:rRNA from 1 species